rnacentral:rRNA from 1 species
AUUGAACGCUGGCGGCAGGCCUAACACAUGCAAGUCGAGCGAGCGGCGGACGGGUGAGUAAUGUCUGGGAAAAUGCCUGAUGGAGGGGGAUCACUACUGGAAACGGGAGCUAAUACCGCAUACCAUCCGAUUUGCCCCGAUGGGAGUAGCUAUUAGGUGGGGUGACGGCUCACCUAGGCGACGAGCCCUCGCGGGUCUGAGAGGAUGACCAGCCACACUGGAACUGAGACACGGUCCAUACUCCUACGGGAGGCAGCAGUGGGGAAUAUUGCACAAUGGGCGCAAGCCUGAUGCAGCCAUGCCGCGUGUAUGAAGAAGGCCUUCGGGUUGUAAAGGACUUUUGUCAUGGAAGCGGUACCUGAAGAAUAAGCACCGGCUAACUACGUGCCAGCAGCCGCGGUAAUAC